ensembl:lncRNA
CGGGCCUUUUUACUGCUUUCUCCCUGUCACCAUAGUAGACUGGCUUCUCUGGUUUCCCUUUGACAUGUGGUUGUAUGGAGUGCUAAUUUCUUGUUUCUUUUUUUUGCUAAGCCUGCGGCUUUUCCUGGUUUUUUCCUUUGAAUAUCUGUGUCUCAGUGGAGUGUGUCUCUGUGUGUGGUUUGUUGUCACUGAGGUGUCGUGUCCCCUGCCCUUUGGUCAUAGCAUCCAAAGUGAGGGGAGAAAGAUGGGCCUGGAGGUAACUGGUGUUCUUAGUGCCUCCAUCAGUUGCAAAUGAUCUCAGCAGCAGACGCUUCCAUCACAUCGACUGUGUGGCUGCGUGAAGCUGCAUUCACAGCUUUAACCACUUCAUGCCAUCUAGACUUGUCUCAAAUGUUUAUAUUCUUGAUCAGAAUUUUUU